rnacentral:rRNA from 1 species
GGCAGCGCGGGGCAACCUGGCGGCGAGCGGCGAACGGGUGAGUAACAUAUCGGAACGUACCCUAUCGUGGGGGAUAACGAAUCGAAAGAUUCGCUAAUACCGCAUACGACCUGAGGGUGAAAGCGGGGGAUCGCAAGACCUCGCGCGACAGGAGCGGCCGAUAUCGGAUUAGCUAGUUGGUGAGGUAAAGGCUCACCAAGGCGACGAUCCGUAGCUGGUCUGAGAGGACGACCAGCCACACUGGGACUGAGACACGGCCCAGACUCCUACGGGAGGCAGCAGUGGGGAAUUUUGGACAAUGGGGGCAACCCUGAUCCAGCCAUUCCGCGUGAGUGAAGAAGGCCUUCGGGUUGUAAAGCUCUUUCGGCAGGAACGAAAAGGUGCGGGCUAAUACCCUGUAUCAAUGACGGUACCUGAAGAAGAAGCACCGGCUAACUACGUGCCAGCAGCCGCGGUAAUACGUAGGGUGCGAGCGUUAAUCGGAAUUACUGGGCGUAAAGCGUGCGCAGGCGGUUUUGUAAGACAGAUGUGAAAUCCCCGGGCUUAACCUGGGAACUGCGUUUGUGACUGCAAGACUUGAGUGCGGCAGAGGGGGGUGGAAUUCCACGUGUAGCAGUGAA